AUACGUAGGAACCAAGCGUUGUCCGGAAUCACUGGGUGUAAAGGGUGCGUAGGCGGGCUUGUGCGUCAGAGGUUAAAGCCCUCGGCUCAACCGAGGAAUUGCCUUUGAUACGGCAGGCCUUGAGUGCGGGAGAGGAUGGUGGAAUUCCUGGUGUAGCGGUGAAAUGCGUAGAGAUCAGGAGGAACACCGGAGGCGAAGGCGGCCAUCUGGCCCGCAACUGACGCUGAGGCACGAAAGCGUGGGGAGCAAACAGGAUUAGAUACCCUGGUAGUCCACGCCCUAAACGAUGUAUGCUUGGCGUCGGGAACAUCUGUUCUCGGUGCCGGAGGUAACCCGUUAAGCAUACCACCUGGGGAGUACGGUCGCAAGGCUGAA
rnacentral:rRNA from 1 species